CUGCUGCCUCCCGUAGGAGUCUGGGCCGUGUCUCAGUCCCAGUGUGGGGGGCCUUCCUCUCAGAACCCCUACGCAUCGUCGCCACGGUGGGCCGUCACCCCGCCGUCUAGCUAAUGCGCCGCAUGCCCAUCCGCCACCGGAUCGCUACCUUUGGCCACCGGAGGAUGCCCUCCGGUGGCGUCACGGGGUAUUAGGCCGCGUUUCCGCGGGUUAUCCCCCUGUGGCGGCCAGGUUGCAUACGUGUUACUCACCCGUGCGCCGGUCGCCGGG
rnacentral:rRNA from 1 species